CAGGAAUGAAACUGUUGAUCAGAGUUGCAGUAUUGAUUCUUCCUGUGGUCAUGGAUACACAUAUGGGAACUUUGAACACUUUUCCAUGCUAGAGAACAUCACAUUUGUCCAUUACAUUGAUGAUAUACUGCUUGGACAUGGAGAACAUGAAACAGGAGCUACUUAAUACCCUUUGAAAAAGAGGAAGUAUUCUAGAGAAUAUAAAAAGACUUCUUGAGUCCUAAGAGGUCGUGAAGACAGCUUUGGAAAUGUUAUAAGCGUCAAGAUUCACUCAAGAUACACCUGCUUCUCUUGCAAAAGGUAAACAGACCUGAUUUUUUUUUCAACUGGAAACAGACCUGAUUUUUUUUUCAGUUGGAUAUUCCAAAAUUAUGGAGAUGUGUAGAAAGUUAAUUUGGAAGAGGGUUGUUAGGAUUCAAUGUGCGUG